GAUGAACGCUGGCGGCGUGCUUAACACAUGCAAGUCGAACGGAAAGGCCCAAGCUUGCUUGGGUACUCGAGUGGCGAACGGGUGAGUAACACGUGGGUGAUCUGCCCUGCACUUCGGGAUAAGCCUGGGAAACUGGGUCUAAUACCGGAUAGGACCACUUCUUGGAUGUUGUGGUGGAAAGUUUUUUCGGUGUGGGAUGGGCUCGCGGCCUAUCAGCUUGUUGGUGGGGUAAUGGCCUACCAAGGCGUCGGCGGGUAGCCGGGCUGAGAGGGUGUACGGCCACAUUGGGACUGAGAUACGGCCCAGACUCCUACGGGAGGCAGCAGGGGGGAAUAUUGCAAAAUGGGCGCAAGCCUGAUGCAGCGACGCCGCGUGGGGGAUGACGGCCUUCGGGUUGUAAACUCCUUUCGCUAGGGACGAAGCGUUUUGUGACGGUACCUGGAGAAGAAGCACCGGCUAACUACGUG
rnacentral:rRNA from 1 species